rnacentral:lncRNA from 1 species
AUGUUGGCAGUUGUUUUUAUGUUGAGUAACGAAACAGAGAUUCCUUCUCCAAAACAACCUGCAUUCCUCUUUAGAAAAUCUGACAAUUUCUGAAAUCGCUAGUCGCUGUGCUGUCUGAAAAAUUGCUAAUAUGAAGUUCCAUUAGAUUUGCUAACGAUAGUGAAUGCCUUUCCUCAAGACAGUCAGAACAAAUUAAUAUUUUAAAGCGGCAGAAAACAAUGGGACAUAUAUGUUGUGCAUCACAACAGAUAAAUAUCCAAAAUUUGAGCAUGUCCGGGCCAUGGCCCAUGAAAGUGCAAAACUCUCUUUCCAGUUUUUUAAGCAUUUUAUAUAUUAAAAAAAAAUUAAAAAAUGCAUUGAAAAAGACCGAUUAUCCGAUCCCACAAUUUCAAUAUCAAUUUUCUCCUUCUACUCAUUUGUCCAUUUUCACUUACAACAUGUUUGAAAUCAAAUAUAUAUUAUACAAGAUACCAAGCCAGUUAAAUGAUUAUUGUGAAUACAUCAACUCCUCAUUCCAUGUAGAAUUAACGAAGACCUCAACCCCAUGAAAAAAUUACAGAUAUGUCUUGAAUUAUUAUGGAUUAUAAUAGUGAUCAACUGAAAAACUUUGCCUAUCUUUUAAGGGUAAUGCAGUUUUUUUCACAUGCUACAUUGAUUGUUAUAAAAUUAAUUAUGAAAAUCUUGGUUUUUUUAUUGUUUUAUAUAGUAUAAUUAUUUAAAUACAUUUAAAUUAAAGUAAAAAAGAAAAAAAAAACUAUGCUCCUCAUGUUUAGAGGCAUUGUUUAUAUUUUAUAGCACAAUAAAAUGAAUAUAUUGUAGUUGAAAUCAAAAUCCUUUAACAUUGUCUCUAAGAGCGUGUUUGGCAGUGUGAUAGUGAUUGCUUUUCAAAUAAUUUUUCGUGUCAAAAUACAUGCAAUAAUGUUUUUUUAUUUUUUAAAAAUUAUUUUUGACAUCAGCACAUCAAAACGAUUCAAAAAAUACAAACCGUAUUAAAUUUCAGCAAAAAAAAAAAUAAUUUUUUAGGAACGCCGUUUCAACCGCAUUCUCAAACACUACCUAAGAGCUAAUUCGUACUUUCCUUUUUUUGUUGUUUUUAUUAUUAUGAUGUAGUCUUUGAGGUAAUUUAGUUUUUUAAUAAAUAUUAAAAAAAAAUAAAAAUGGUUGAUGCAUUAGUUGAAUAUGCUAGUGAGUAAGCCUCCCUAUCGUGUUUACAAUUAUAAAAAAUGACUUUCUUUGAUGUUUGGUGAUUCAUCAUAGAGCGACCCACCUUUUUAAACAACACGUGUGAUCUAUGUUUAUUUAGUUUGACCUUGAUUGGCUUUUCUUCUUGUUUUUUUCCUCAAUUUCCACACUAGCUUUCAAAAAUCUCACAAUCGCCAUUAAAUUUCUUCCUUUUUUUAAUUUGAUACUUAUCUUUUAAAUUGGUUUUAUCUUAUUUUAUUAUUUUGUAAAACUAAAAUUUAAUUUUUAAUUUCAAUUUCAUUCUCCUUUAAAUUUUAUAUAUCCAUCAAAUCUGAUACUCAUUUUUUAUGCUAUUAUUUUUAUUUAAGAUCAUUUUUAAUUUAUUUUUUUUAUUCCAUCCUUUAUUUUCUUAAUGCUACUAUUUUUUCUUUGACAAAUUGUUUACGAUAUUUUUUUAUUUCAUUCUUUAACAUUAAAUUGAGUUUUUUUAUUGAGUCUGGAUUUAGGAUUUAAUAGGUUAUGAAUUUGAGAAAUUAACCUAGGUUUAGAAGAUUUACUUUAGUUUAUUUUUGUUUUUUUUUGUUUUUAAACUAAAUAAAAAAAUUAAAUAGUUUAGUUUUUGGAUUUAAAACUAAUCAUACCCAUCAUGUCCUCCAUAGCACGUAUGUCAAUUCUUUUCCCUUUGUAAUAUUAGUAACAACAAAGUAUCAUUACUAAAUUUUUUUGUUUUUUUGAAUUUUACAAUCUCAAUUAUAUAAUUUAUGGUGUCAUUUAAGUUCUUUAAGGCCUCCAAACUAGUAUUAGAAUUACUAUUUUGAAAGUGAUUUAUAUUUUUUUCUCUUUAUUUUAGAAAUAUUUUAUUAAUUUUUAAGCUUUGUUGAGGGUGUUUUUCCUAAUAUAUAAUAGUCCGGAAGAUCUUUGAUAUUUAAAUUUGAUUAGAAAAAUAUUGAGUAAUAAAAGUUUGAAUUAUAACUAUUAUUAUGGUUGAUAUGUUUUUCGACACAAUUCUAUCUUUCCUUGUGUUUGUUGUUUUUUUUUAUGUUUGUUUCUACAACCUACUACAUAUUUCUAAAACUAGAGGACGGUGUCGUUUCCAAAAAUCUGGAUUGAUAUUUUAACAAAAACAAGUCAUUGCCUAGACUUCGAAGGUUGAAAAGACUAACUCACAAAAGAGAUGCCUGAUUCCGUCACGUAACUUCUCUGGAGACUUGUCUGAAGGCCAUAUCCAUUCUCCACGAAGCAAAAUUUAACACUUUUCCAGAAGCCAAGAUCCAGUUUGCCCCAUCAUGGAAGCUGGAAAACUGUUCUUGCUUUUUUCUCUUAUAACGCUCCAAUUCUCAUCUUGUACAUCCCAAGACUCCUUAAAGACCAACCAAACCAUUAAAGAAGGUGACCUUCUUAUCUCCGAAGGAAAUAAUUUCGCACUAGGAUUUUUCAGUCCUGGCAGUUCUACCACUAGAUAUCUUGGAAUUUGGUACCAUAAAGUACCAGAAAAAACUGUGGUGUGGGUUGCGAACAGGAACGAUCCAAUCAUUAGUUCCUCUGGAUUUCUCUUUAUAGACCAAUAUGGGAACCUCGUUCUCCAUGGGAAAGAUGACCAAAAGCUUCCUGUGUGGUCUACAAAUGUUUCAGUGGAAGAAAAUGAUACUUGUGAAGCUCAACUCUUGGAUUCAGGAAAUUUGAUAUUGGUCAGGAAAAGAAGCAGAAAAACUGUAUGGCAAAGCUUCGAUUAUCCUACGAACAUCCUGCUUCCUGGAAUGAAACUGGGGCUGGAUCGAAAAAUAGGAAUUGAUCGGUUCCUAAAAUCAUGGAGAUCAGCUGAUGACCCUGGGUUCGGGGACUUUUCACUUAGGAUCAACCCAAAUGGCUCACCGCAAAUCUUUUUCUAUAAUGGUACAAAGCCAAUUAGUAGAUCCCCUCCUUGGCCAUGGAGAAGUCAAAUGGGCUUAUUCAACAGCACCUUAGUAAAUGAUCCAGAUGAAAUAUACUGGGUCUACACAGUUCCUGAUGAUUCUUAUCUGCUAAGAUUAAUAGUGGAUCAUCCAGGACAUGUAAAGGCUUUAACAUGGCGACAAAGUGAUGGUCAGUGGAAGGAAUACUGGAGGUCCCCUCAGUUCCACUGCGACUAUUAUGGAAAUUGUGGUGCUUAUAGUACGUGUGAACUCGCCAAUCUAAAUGAAUUUGAAUGUGCCUGUCUACCUGGGUUCGAACCCAAGUACCCAUUGGAAUGGUCUGCGAGAGAUGGGUCCGGUGGUUGUGUCAGGAAGCGGCUACAUACGUCUUCGGUGUGCCAGCAUGGUGAAGGGUUUGUGAAGGUGGAAAAUGUAGUUCUUCCGGAAAGUUCAGCUGCAGUUUGGGUGGAUAUGAGCAAGAGUCUUGCAGACUGCGAAGUGCAAUGCAAGAGGAAUUGCUCAUGCUCUGCAUACGCAAUCAUUGCAAUUCCCGGACAAAAUUAUGGUUGUUUGACAUGGUACAAGGAAUUAGUAGACAUUAAUUAUGUUAGGAGUGAAAGUCAUGAUCUGUAUGUUCGUGUUGAUGCAUAUGAAUUAGGUACCCUUUUUCUGCUCAGUACCUACUUCAUAGGAUUGUCAUUACAAAUAUUGAUUUAUAAUCGCCUUCCUAUGCUUGUCACGGCUCUUGACUGUAGUUAAAAGAUAUUGGUACAUUUUAGGUGCAAAAAGGGCUUCCCUUUGCAAUAUUUCCAUUGGAAAAUGGGGUGGUUUUUCCUAUAGAGUUAAAUCUUUAUUCUUUUCACUCUCGUGCAGCUGAAACUAAAAGGAAGUCAAAUGAUUCUCGAGAAAAACCGAUACUGGCCGUUUUAGUACCAUCAAUUGCAUUAUCGUGGUUUCUCGUUAGCCUGUUUGCUUAUUUGUGGUUCAAGAAGAGAGCAAAAAAAGGUACUGAACUGCAGGUAAACAGCACUUCUACUGAAUUGGAAUAUUUCAAGCUCAGCACCAUAACGGCGGCCACUAACAAUUUCUCUCCAGCUAACAAACUCGGGCAAGGUGGUUUUGGCUCUGUUUAUAAGGUUGAGUUUCUUGCAUUUAGCUAAAAACUAAUUGGCCUCUCUAAUUUGCAUAAUUUGCUUAAUCUUGUAAGAUGAUUUUAGGGCCUGCUGGCUAAUGGACUGGAGGUUGCAAUAAAAAGGUUAUCUAGAAGUUCAGCACAAGGAACAGAAGAAUUUAAAAAUGAGGUUAUGGUAAUUGCAAAGCUUCAACACAGGAAUCUAGUGAAACUUCUAGGUUACUGCAAUCAGGAUGCAGAACAAAUGUUAAUCUAUGAAUACUUGCCAAACAAAAGCUUGGACUCGUUUCUUUUCCGUAAGUCUCUUUAUGUUUUUAUUGCCCUGAUUUACACUAGUUGUCUGAAAAAUAAUUGUUUCAACAGAUGAAAGCAGAAGAUUGUUAUUGGAUUGGCGAAAACGCUUUGACAUUAUUGUUGGAAUAGCUCGUGGGAUAUUAUAUCUUCACCAAGACUCCAGGUUGAGAAUCAUCCACAGGGAUUUAAAAUGUAGCAACAUUCUACUGGAUGCAGAGAUGAACCCAAAAAUAUCAGAUUUCGGAAUGGCAAAAAUAUUUGAAGGCAACCGAACUGAAGAUAGGACAAGCAGAGUUGUCGGAACAUAGUAAGUACCUUUGCCUAGUACAAAGACCGAGUGACAAAGUACUAUCAUUGAUUACCAGGAAUACUAAAACUUCAGAUUCUUGUUUUUCUGAUGCAGUGGCUACAUGUCACCAGAAUAUGCUGUGUUUGGAAACUUUUCUGUAAAAUCAGAUGUUUUCAGUUUUGGGGUCAUGUUGCUAGAGAUUGUUAGUGGAAAGAAGAACAAUAGAUUUUAUCAACAGAAUCCUCCAUUGACCUUGAUUGGAUAUGUGAGUUAUAAGAAAGCCAUCUGAGCUCUUCGCUGAAUUUCAGUGAUCACAAUUUUCGAUGUUGUCUGCUCUUAUUUCUUGAAUGCUAAUGAUUUAUAUGAACAAAACAGGUGUGGGAAUUAUGGAGAGAAGACAAAGCAUUGGAGAUAGUUGAUCCAUCACUGAAGGAGUUGUAUCAUCCGCGUGAAGCCUUGAAAUGCAUACAAAUUGGUCUUCUGUGCGUGCAAGAAGAUGCCACGGACAGACCAUCUAUGUUGGCAGUUGUUUUUAUGUUGAGUAACGAAACAGAGAUUCCUUCUCCAAAACAACCUGCAUUCCUCUUUAGAAAAUCUGAUAAAUUUCCUGAUCUAGCAUUAGACGUAGAAGAUGGACAGUGUUCUCUAAAUGAGGUGACAAUUACUGAAUUCGCUUGUCGCUGAAGUUGUGCCGUCUGAAAAAUUGGUAAUAUGAAGUUCCAUUAGAUUUGAAAUGAAAAUACUUGUUGCUAAAUUGGGGAUUUGAGAUUUAACAGACACUACCACGAACAUUGGAGAUAGUUGAUUCAUCACUGGAGGAGUUAUAUUUUCCCCUAAAGGCCUUGAAAUGCAUACAAGUCGGUCUCUUGUUUUAUGUCAAGUAGUGAAAAAACAAUUCCUUCUCCUAAAUAACCUGCAUUCCUUUUGAUGCAGGAGCUAGAACUGUA